GAUGAACGCUGGCGGCGUGCCUAAUACAUGCAAGUCGAGCGAACAGACGAGGAGCUUGCUCUCUUACGGUUAGCGGCGGACGGGUGAGUAACACGUGGAUCAGAAACUUCUAUGACUGGGAUAAUUUCGUGAGAAAGCUGACAAUACUGGCUAAUAUAUCGAACGGGAUGAAUCAUUAGUGCAAGACGGUUUUGGCGAUUGAAAGAGCCGGUUCCGCGUCGCAUAAGCUAGUUGGUAAGGUACCGGCUUACCAAGGCGACGAUCCGUAGCUGAGCUGAGAGGAUGAUCGGCCACACUGGAACUGAGACACGGUCCAGACUCCUACGGGAGGCAGCAGUGGGGAAUAUUCCACAAUGGGCGAAAGCCUGAUGCAGCCAUACCGCGUGAGUGAUGAAGGUCUUCGGAUCGUAAACCUCUGUUGUUGGGGAAGAACAGCAGUGUGUGAAACUAUCGAUGUUUUGACGGUACCUAAUCAAAAAGCCCCGGCUAACUUCGUG
rnacentral:rRNA from 1 species